rnacentral:rRNA from 1 species
UACGUAGGGCGCAAGCGUUAUCCGGAAUUAUUGGGCGUAAAGAGCUCGUAGGCGGUUUGUCGCGUCUGCCGUGAAAGUCCGGGGCUCAACUCCGGAUCUGCGGUGGGUACGGGCAGACUAGAGUGAUGUAGGGGAGACUGGAAUUCCUGGUGUAGCGGUGAAAUGCGCAGAUAUCAGGAAGAACACCCGUGGCGAAGGCGGCUCUCUGGGACGUGACUGACGCUGAGACGCGAAAGCGUGGGGAGCGAACAGG